AGGCUGACCUCUUUGUUCUGGUGUCUCUCAUCUGUGCUCUGCUGACCCUGGAUGCAUUUGUAACAGCAUUUCAAGGCGUUCAGUUUGUCUCCAGUGUUCCCAGAUGCGACUCGCAUCUGCCCUGCAUUACUUGAAGAUUUUUUCAACAAGAAGAUCCUGCACAGAUGAAUCUCAAGUUGAAGACCAAGGUCACACCUGUGCCACCUCCCCCUUAUUUUACUCAUGUACUCCA